rnacentral:sRNA from 1 species
UAAGCUCAGGAGGGAUAGCGCCAUGGAUGAUUUAAUAUAAGCCCUCUUUUUCUUCAUGGGUUUUCUUCUAUGAUCUCUCUAUAGCGCUAUCCAUCCUGAGUUUCAUCGGU